rnacentral:rRNA from 1 species
GAUGAACGCUGGCGGCGUGCUUAACACAUGCAAGUCGAACGAUGAAGCCCAGCUUGCUGGGUGGAUUAGUGGCGAACGGGUGAGUAACACGUGAGUAACCUGCCCUUAACUCUGGGAUAAGCCUGGGAAACUGGGUCUAAUACCGGAUAGGAGCGUCCACCGCAUGGUGGGUGUUGGAAAGAUUUAUCGGUUUUGGAUGGACUCGCGGCCUAUCAGCUUGUUGGUGAGGUAAUGGCUCACCAAGGCGACGACGGGUAGCCGGCCUGAGAGGGUGACCGGCCACACUGGGACUGAGACACGGCCCGGACUCCUACGGGAGGCAGCAGUGGGGAAUAUUGCACAAUGGGCGCAAGCCUGAUGCAGCGACGCCGCGUGAGGGAUGACGGCCUUCGGGUUGUAAACCUCUUUCAGUAGGGAAGAAGCGAAAGUGACGGUACCUGCAGAAGAAGCACCGGCUAACUACGUG